UCAGUUUCUUAAUCUCACUCCAGUUAAUCACAAACUCCCUGAUUCAACCUCUCUUUGCUUCUACCAUUGGUUGUCCUUUUUCCACCACUAAUUCUCUGGCCAAAGUCUUGAUGUUUCCCCAGAGAUGUCACCGGUAUAACACUCCAGUUUCAGGAAUAUAGUGAUGCAUGCGAAGAAUUUUAAAAGAAUCAAUUUGGUCAUUGGUGUCACUAAAAUACAUUUAUCUUUUCGGGUGUCACUAAAAUGCAUUUAUCUUUUCGGUCAAAUGUUCUCAAAAAUACUCUGAAGUUAAACGUGUUUGAGCUGGAAUAAUUUUUAGGUGAGCGACCUUCCGAAAAAUAAUUAUUGUCCAAAAAAGAAAUAUGUACAUCAAAGAGUGUAAAAGAUUUAUCAUGUCAUGUUACU
rnacentral:sRNA from 1 species